GAUUAGAAGUUCAGAGCCAUCCUUGAUUAUAUAAUGUGAGUUGUAGGCCAGCCUGGGCUGCUUGAAACUAUCUCAAAAAAAAAAAAAAAAAAAACCAUAAAACAAACCAAAACCAACCAACCAACCACACACACACACACACACACAACCAACCAACCAACCAAAAACCAAAACCAAAACAACCCCCUUUUUCUUGUUUUUGUUUUUGUUUUUCGAGACAGGGUUUCUCUGUAUAGCCCUGGCUGUCCUGGAACUCACUCUGUAGACCAGACUGGCCUCGAACUCAGAACUCAGAAAUCCUCCUGCCUCUGCCUCCCAAGUGCUGGGAUUACAGGCAUGCGCUGCAAGUAUCAUCGGAGUUUAUAGUGUAGGAGGUUCUGUGGUCUUGCAGGUGACCAUUUAUGGUAACAUUUCUAUGUUGCUCUGGACCAAUCGUAUCUACUGGAACCAUCUGCAGUGGUAGAGAUCAGGCACUUGUGAUAUUUGAAAUGUGGAUAGUGAUACUCCAAAAUGAAAUUCUAAGUUUUCAUUAAUGCUACUAGUCCUAGGUCUGGGAGUUACUUUGUUGCAAAGUGAAGGUUUCUUUUCUCUUCCUCAGAGAUGGUCAUUUAAAACAGCCAUGAACACUUGUGGCCAUUCCUCUUCCUGCCUCAGCUUUCCCAAUGCUGGGAUUACAGAUAGAAGUCAUGGGCCAUACGCCCCCUCCCCUCCCACACACCCUGCCCCACAUGAAAGGGCAAUUUUAAACCCUUAGUUCUUCAGAGUGAUCCCCUAGGAGAAAUAUUUGAGUGGGGGCAUGUCAGCUAGGCUGGACCUGGGGCAAGUUUCUGUGUAUUCCUCUCUUUCCUGUGGGAAUCUGCAAACCUCUGGAGAAAUGGAGCCAAGGCCUGAGGCGAGAGGCCUGAGGAAGAGACAGCAUGUUCUUCAGGGUUAUAGUCAGGGUAGGAGGGAAUGUCUGGUGAUGAGCCCUUUCUAGUCUGCUAGCACACUCUGAUUUUCUUUUCCCCUUUCCUUUUGGAUAGGGUUUCUGGUGGUCCUGGCUGGUCUUUAGUCCCUUUGUAGCUGAGGGUCAUCUUAACCUCCUGAUCUUCGUGCCUCCACCCCUCAAGUGCUGGGAUUACAGGAGCGUUCGUUACCACUCGCUGCCUCAUAUUGAAUUUUUCUUUAUUUGACCGUGCUGUUAUUUGAUUUAAAAGUUCACUCAAGUAAUCUAUUUUCUAAAGGAAACUUUUACAUAAGACUGUGUUAUUUAAAUUGGCAAACUGAAAUACUGUCCAGAAAAUCCUGCUUAAAGCCUGCACUUUCCUCCCCCCACCCCUUUUUUCUUUUUGAAAAGAAGCAAAUUCUCUGCCGUUUAAAGGCUCUGGAAUGACCGAUGUCAUAAUUACUUCCACUGGAGUUCCCUUUUGUUUGAUAACCUUGACAUUCUUUAAGAAUUGCCAGUGGCCUAUAGCCCACUACCCAUACUGUUUGGCAUUUUAAAUUACAAUGAAGACACUCCUAUAUCCUUAAGCAGUUAUGUGUUCCAGUAACUUGAACAACUCACCUUAAUAAAACAACCCAUCACUGAUUAUAAUUUCAUGUUUAAAAGGCUAUAUGCCUGUAGUGUUUGGCUUGUAUUUUUUUUUUUCCCUAGAGGCAAAGUCAGUUUUAGAAAAAAAAAAAAAGUAUGGAAUUUUUCCUUGGCAUUUCUAUGGUAAAUAGACAACUUGACUAUUUAUAGGGACUUACACUUUGUUUUAAAAUGAGAUACCCUGCCUGGCUUACCACCAAAACACAGAUGCUUCUGCCUUCUAAUAGGGAGGCCCUUUCCUCGUAGCAUCUGUUUAAAUUGGCUGCCCAGAUGAUAUCCACAGAUUCCCACCCCCUUCCUAUUAAAGGACAUUGACAGGUAAACAGGUUUACAAAUGAGGUUAACCUACCAUUUUGUAAAGUUUCUAUUGUGUUGGCUCUGUCAUGGAAGUAAUUUUGUUCCAUUUAUUGAUUUAUAUUUUUCCAAUAUGUAUAUGUAUGUGGUGUGCCUUUGUGGAUGUAUGUUUUUUGCAUGUGUGUAGGUGCACAUAUUUGUGUACAUACAUGUCUUCUGUGUGUGUAUAUAAAGCAAGAGGAUUAUGUCAAGAAUCACCCCUCGGGGCUGGAGAGAUGGCUCAGUGGUUAAGAGCAUUGACUGUUCUUCCGAAGGUCCGGAGUUCAAAUCCCAGCAACCACAUGGUAGCUCUCAACUAUCUGCAAUGAGAUCUGAUGCCCUCUUCUGGUGUGUCUGAAGACAGCUACAGUGUACUUACAUGAAAUAAUAAAUAAAUCUUAAAAAAAAAAAAAAGAAUCACCCCUCAAUUACUCUUCAUCCACUGAGAUAUCAGCUCUUGGCCAAACUCAGAGCUCCCAUACAUGGCUAGGUUCCUCAUCCAGUUUGCUGUGUGGAUCCCUUGUCCCUACCUUCAGAGCUAUCUUCCUAGCCCCAAGUUGUGUAGUGAUUAAGUCAUCUGAAUCUAAUUCUGUGAUAUCCUAAAUGACCUUGAAGGGAUACUGCCUUGGACACUUGUCCUUUGGGUGGUUUGAAUUGGGUUUGUAAUCUACGAUUAACCAGCACUCACUGUACCAGGCCCAGGAGUAGUCCUCCGGAAGUAUGGACAUGAGCAAAAUCUAGUCUCCAACCUUAAGAAUUAUCCUAGGUAUGAUUCAAGUGUGUAGGCAGACAGUGAAGGUCAUCUUCAGGGCUUCCAUGCAUGUCUUCUCAGUUCUGUGGGGAGGGGCAGCUGUCCAGAAUGUCUCCUAGAAUAAGUAUUGUCUAAGCUGAGAACUGUAGAGUGUAUAAGAAUUGGCCAAGGAAGGGAUGCAGAUUUAGGGGAAAGAUAAUCAAGGGAAGAAACUUGAAAGUAAAGAGACUCUAGGAAGAUAGAAAACUUUAAAUUGUUAAGUUUUUGAUGGAUGGCUGGUCCAGGUGUGACCCUAACAAAAUGCUCUUUCAUUUGGAAGGUAAACUUGUGACCUUGACUCUGUUCAUGUCAUGGGAAAUUGGUGCUUUCCAAACACUUGAUCACGAAUUCACAUGUCAAAUUAUUUAUAUAAUCCUAGUAUGUCCAUAUUGCAUAUUCACUGAUGUGCUGAGAUUUUAUACACACAGUC
rnacentral:lncRNA from 1 species